UCCACAAAGUGAUUCGAAUUUUUAGAGGGCAAGAGAGCAUCCAUAUCUGUUGAUAUUGUUUUGGCCAAAUUCAGCCCGGGGCCCAUAAACAAAAAAAUCAAAAUAAAUAGUCCAUUUUGUUUACAAAUUCAGACCCAAAUUUUAAACCAUGGCCCAAAAUACAAACAGUCCAAUACAAAAUUGAAACCCAAACCAAACACUUAAACCCUAGCCCAAACUUUUAAGCCCAAAACCAAAAAACAUUUUUGGUAGAACCCUAGCAACCAGCCUUUAGCCGCCGCCACCGAAGCAGCCCCUAGGCACCGCACGUUGCGCGUCGUGCACUCUUCCACCAUGCCACGUUAGAGACGUGCUUGUUCACGUACCUGCAAAUGUGAAAAACAGUUGCAAAAAUCAGCUAUAAAAUCUAAACAAAUCGUUUGUAAAAGGGGAUCGUUUAUUUUUUUUGGAUUUGAUGAAUACAAAAGCAGAGAAUAUACAAAAAAAAAAUAGAUACACGAGCAAGCUAUUUCAAUAGAAACCAAAUUGAAGAUUCAGGAGGUGGUUUUUUUUUUCACUUUUCGCAUUUUUUUUUCUUUUUUUUUGUUUUUCUUCUCUUUUUGCAAAUUGAUUUUAAACCUAGUUUUAAACAAAAAUCAAAGGAAAAGGCUCACUUGGAUUUUCCCCGUGGUUCGGCGUCGGAGGUGGAGGCGUUGAGGCGCCGAUGACCCUCCUAUGUGGCUCCCCAAAGCAGGGUCGAAACCUUAGCAGAGGGAUAGGGGGCCCUUUUUUUUAAAAAAAAAAAAUUGGAAGGCAAAAGGGGAUUUUGCCCAAAAGACCUUUUUUUUGCUGCAAACAAAACUGCGCAGUUUAAGGGGGAGGGGGAUCCGCGCGUCAACCCGCUCCAGGGCCCAGAUCCGUGCCUUUGCGCAUUAAAUGGGGAAUUUCGCGUCUAGUCCCUUCCCUUUGCGCCAGCUUUCAAUUAGCCCCUAUUGCAUUUUACUUUUUUUUUAAACUUUUCCCUGAACCUUGCGCAUCCUUUCAAUUUAAUCCGUACCUAGGUGUUGCCUUUUGGGAUUUGGAUCAAUUGCACUUUUGGUCCCCGUGCAUUGGCGCGCACUGUGAUUUGACCCUUAUUUUGCUAUCCGUUUUAUUUGUUAAUUAUCCCUUUCAAUUAGGUUUUAUUUCAAUAAUUCUAGGUUUAAAUUUAUUUAACAUUCUUUUUUAAAAAAAAAAAAACCCUUUUUAUUUAAACAUAUAUUCUAGGUUAUUCUAAUCCUUUUUACCUCAUUUCAACUUGGUAUUUUAUUGCUAUUUGUUUUUAAAACAGAGUUAUUAUUUUAAAAAAAUUCUUUUAUGUCAUAUUGUUCUCAAGUUAUGUGUUAUAUUUAAUUUAAUUAUUCUUACAUUAAAUGUAUAUAUAUAAUUUAUAUUAAAGUUAGUUUUGUUCUAUGUAUAUUAUUGUUUUCAUAUUAUUUUAUGUAAAUAUUUUCUUAAAGAUUUAUUUAUUAUAUAUAUAUGCAUAUUUUCUUUUAAACUUAUUAUUGUAUGAUCAGUUCUCUUUAAAGGAUCUCUUUUUAAGGUGUAUAUAUAUAUUUUUAAAUACUUUCAUAUAGUAGUUUUUUGUAUGUACAUUAUUUACCUUAUUUUUUCAUUUUCAUAUAUAUACCGAUAGUCAAAUCAAUUUGUUUUAUUUGAGAUUAUGUUGUAUAUUAUUUAUUUUGAAUUUUUUCUUGCAAAUUAUAUAUAUUUUAAAUAAUCGUUCAUAUAUUAUCAGUUUUUUUCGUACACAUAAAUUAUUUCAAGUUCCAGCAUGGGUUAUUCCUUUGUAUAUUUUUUCCUCCUCUUUCCAUAAGUUUUUAAAUUGUUUUGUGCUAUAUUGGUUUCUAGUUUUCAUAUGGUUUUAUAUAUUAUGUGUCAUCUUUAGUUUUCAUAUUAUAACUACCUAUUAUUGUUUCAUGCAUGUAAUUAGGCUUGUAUUUCUCGUUAAUGCACCAUGAUUAUGAUUCUCAUAUUCUCCGAAUGUCGACCGUCCUUUAUCUCCAAACAAAUCAAACAAAUAUAUCUUGACUUGGUUUUCAUAAUUGUAAACUUGAACCCUCUCAACAUAAGGAAAUAUUUCGUGUUUGGGAGUUCGAGGGGUCAUGCACAAUCGUGCUGGGUUUCGAUUUUUCGUUCAACUAAAAUACGGAAUAUUCUUUGGAAUUUUCGUCCAUACUUUUUAAAAUUAAAAUGAGGCAAUAUUUCGUAUUUGGGGAGUUUGAGAGAUCGUGUCUAAUCGUGCUGGGUUUCAAUCUUCCAUUCGACUAAAAUACAAAAUAUCCUUUUGAAAUUUCACCCAUGUUUUCUUAAAUUAAAAUGAGGCAAUGUUUUGUAUUUGGAAAUUCAAUAAAUCGUGCCCAGUCGUGCUGGGUUUCGAUUUACUGUUUGGGUCAAAUAGCCAAAUAUCCUUUUUUAAAGUUUUAGGUGCAUGUGUUUUAGAAAUCCUGAGGUGAUCUUCUGUCGAGAGUUCGAAAUAUUGUAUCCAAUCGUGCCGGACGUAAUAUUUUAUUCCUUCUAAGCGAGAGAAUCUCAAUAUCCAAUUCAAGUUAUCCAAACGUUUUAAAGGAAUUGUAUUUUAAUUUUUUUUCAAAUUUUCAACAUUAGGACGUUUAUUGACCAAUACGGUACCAAUUUUAGGCGUUGCGAGGGUGCUAAUCCUUCCUCGCGCGUAAUUGACUCCCGAAUCCGUUUUCUAGUUUUUUCGUAGACCAAAAACGUUGUUUUAAUAAACCGAAAUACUUUAUUAAAAUGAUUGAUCACAAGGUGACCCGAUCACACCUAAACAAAAAGGAUAGGUGGUGACUCCAUUUUCGUUUUAAAGUCGAUCUCUGUUUUUCAAAAUAAAAAUGGUUUCGACAGCUUGGUGACUCCACUGGGGACCUAUAAGAGAGUCAAGCCUUAAAAUUGAUUAUUUAUUAUCCUUCUGUCGAAAUUUUAAAAAUUGAUUUUUAACAUACGUUCGUUUCAUCGCAUUUCUGGGUUUUAUGGUUUCCAUUAUAUUUUUUUUACCUUUUGAGUUUUUUCCCCUCCCAUCAUCUUGCAUGACCGUUGUGGUCGCACCUUCUAAGUGGGAGUGAGAAACUAUACCUUAAUGAGGUUUUCACCUCCGCAUGGGUUAGUGGACUGCUUUCGGGAUACAUCUGUACCUAUGUCUUCGUGAGGUUUUCACCUCCGCAUGGCUAUAGGGAAAUGUGUCCUCCUGAACUAAACUCGAUCCGUAUGAGCCUAUAAUGGGUGAGGGUCGAGGAAUCUGUUGGUUCGGGUACCCUCUUCUUUAGAACUGAGCCACAUAUAGUGAACCCUAGGAGUCCACCCUAGACAUAGCUAUGUUGAACCUUAGCGGUUGCCUAGAUAAGUGUUUGACUAUUUUUCUAUUUGCUUUAGAUUUUAUUAUUCAGUCUUAACUUGUUGUGUUUUGAUGUGGCCAUAAUUGCAUAUCAUUCCAUAUUUAGGGAGGUGUCGAUUCUUAUUCAGUUACUAAGUUAGAGAGCUUGCUAUGGAGAGCGAAUUCCUUAAUAAAAUAGAAGAUAAUGCGGCUGUCCGUAUAUGGUCAGAGAAGAUGCAACUUGAGAAAGGGGAUAGCCUAGCUGAGGGGUACAUAUCAGAGUUGUGGGACUUCACCUGUAUCAGCGUUACACAGAAUGAGUUCUAGGAAUUGAGGGAUAUAUGGGCCGAUUAGGGCGAUGAGACUGAGCAACUAUUUUAUCAAAAUUUCGGUGACCUACCCUACCUGCUCGACAUUAAGGUAAACCAUAACUUGUUCCGAGCCAUAACUCAGUUUUAGAAUCCCGCGUAUAGUUGUUCCACUUUUGGAAAUGUGGACUUGGUGCCUACUGUGGAGGAGUAUACAGCUUUGCUUCGUUGUCUAAAGGUUCAAAUCGAUAGAGUUUACUUUAAGUCUGCUAAUGCCCAACCUUUUGUAAAGAAAUUAAUGAGUAUUACCGGGAUAAGUGAACAGUGGGUUACAGCCCGAAUUUAGCAAAAAGGUGAUGGUAAAUGUAUUCCUUAGGUGAGUUUGAGGUAUCUGAUCGUAGUACAUCCAGAUAUGAAGAAGAAGGUUGACAUCUUCGCCUUGAGUAUCUAUGGUUUGGUAAUUUUUCCCAAAGCUCUAAGGCAUAUAGACGAAGCACUGGCCUAUUUAUUUGAUCAGCUUGACAAAAGAAGCCACACCGGUGCCGGCGAUUCUAGUUGAGACGUUUAGAUCCUUGAGUGCAUAUCGGAAGGCAGGAGAGGGCAAAUUUAUAGGGUGCGCACAGUUAUUGUCAGUAUGGUUCCAUAGCCAUUCUUGGAAGAUGGAUAAAGUUUCUUAUCGGGUUUUCUCUGAAAAUUAUUCCUCGCUAAAAGAGAUAACAGCAACGCCUAGGAGAGACGAUAUAUUAGAGGAGAAUUGGAUCGCGCUAUUUCGAAAUCUCCAGGAAGAAGAAGUUGAGUGGAAAGCUCAUUGGAUGGUUCCCGACGAGAUCCUCUAUCGGUGUGGGAGUUUUGAUUAGGUACCUCUACUCGGAAUUUGAGGAGCCGUUGGAUAUGCCCUUUGCUUGUGUUGAGGCAAUACAGGUUGAGACAGUUCAUACCAAUAAUGCAUGAGUUAGCUUGGAGUGAGUUCUCAUAUAGGGGGGACCAUUAUAAGAAGAAGGUUCGAGAGAUUGUUGAUGCUUGGAGACAAACAUGGCAGAUAAAGAGGUUGGCUGUAGGUUCAAUGACAACCCCAAAAUACGAUGGGUGGUUGCACAGAAGGAUCAAUGAUAAUAUCCCUCAGCCGAGUUUAAAAGGCAUCAAAUCGAUGGAUGAAUACCUACAAGUAAUCCCCUCCGAGCUAGAAAUCAUCAAGCAAGACUUCGAGAAGAGAAAUUUAGAGUUAGGGAAAAAGAUAGAGCAGUUGAAAGAAGAAAAGAUGCAUUUGAGGUUAGAUGUUGAUGUUCAGAAACUCGAGGCUGAGAAGUUAAGAAAGGGAAAGAGGAAGGUCGAAGAGGACUUGGACAGUUUGAAGACUAAUUACAAAAAGCUGCAUAUGUCAAUGAGAACAGCCGGAUUGGAAAAGACAUCGGAGCAGUGGCGACAAGAAGUUUAAGAGGAAAAGGCCAGAGCUGAUCAAUGGGAGAAGAGGUUCCACGAUGCUCGAGCACGUGAAAGCGCAUUGAGGAAGAGUUUGGUAGAAGUCUAAGAGGAGAAGCAGAUAUUAACAGCUCGUGUAACGGAGUUAGAAAGGGCGCUGCAUCAGAGUCGUGGUCGUAACUUUGACAUUGAACUAGGGGCAAGCCUGAGCAGGGUCGAGGAUUUAAAAGGAAGGGUAGAAGAACUUGAGGCUGCGUUACAAAAUUGUGAGCUUCGAAUUGAAUUUAUUGAGUCGAAUAAUAAGCAAUGGAAGGAAUAGCUUCGCCGAUCGUAGGACCAGGUCAGGGAUAGCGAUCAUAUCAUGGGCAAAGCCGUGGCACAGAUUCGACCAGUGGCCGAUCAUUUACAAAUCUUAGCGUUUCAGGCUGAUGUGCUAAGUGUGAAGUAUGAGUUAGAGUCAGACUGGGGUCGUGAGCUGGCUUGCCUUCUUGAGAAACUUAAAACUUUAAGCAUUAGGGUAAAGUUGUAUAUAUAAUCUGUUUUACGUAUAGGAUUUUGUUGUCUAAGAAAAUUUCUAAAUGGAAUUGGAUCAGAAUCGACAUCCUUUUAGUUUUGCAUUCAUCUCAUGCAUUUACAUUUCAUCACAUCAUGUGCAUUAAAUUUUUUUAAAAAAAAGCCUUAAUUAAUCUAAAAUUGUAUUAUAGUUACCCUGGAACAUCAAUACUACACAUGAAAAAAAACCAAAGCUAUGGAUCAGAGACUAGAAAAAUUAGAACAAAUGCAGAGAGAAAUGAAGGAGCGGCUGCAAGCAUAGAUGCAAGAGCAACUGACCAAGAUUCAGUAAGAUAUGAAAGAUCAAAUGCAAGAAUCGCAGAAGGACACGAUGAAUCAGCUAACUCAGUUGUUGCUCGGAGGGCCAAGAAAAGGGAAGAGCCCUAUGGUCAACCCAGAGGGCGAUAGCGAGAUCCGUACUUAUCCUCCAAGUUUCACCCUAGUGAAUACCCCAGUACCACCUCAAAGGGUGUCUGUCAAUAUCAAACCCCAGUAUUAAGCUGGUAUUUCGGCACCAAUGAAUUUCCCGACGGGCUCGUGUUCUAAACCCGAGGACGAUCGGGUAAAUCCUUUGGUCCCCGACUUUGAUGAGAUGACAGAGGUGGGGAAGGCAAAAAGAGGACUCCUAGAGCAACUGAAAGUCCGAUACAAAUGGCUGGAAGAAAAAUUCAAGACGCUGGAAAGCACAGAUUAUGAAUGUGGUAUGGAUGCUAAAGAGUUGAGUUUGGUUCCAGAUCUAGUGCUCUUUCCGAAGUUCAAAAUGCCGGAGUUUGAGAAAUACAACGGAACCAGCUGCCUUGAGGCCCACAUCAUAAUGUUUUGUCAGAGGAUGAUUGGUCAUGUCUAUAAUGAUCAGUUGCUAGUUCAUUGUUUCCAGGAUAGUCUGAGUGGGGUUGCGGUCAAAUGGUACAAUCAGUUGAGUCGCACCCAAAUUAAAUUGUGGAGGAACUUAGCACAGGCCUUCAUUAAGCAGUAUGGCCAUGUAACGGACAUAGCGCUUGAUCAGAUCACGUUACAAAACAUGAAGAAGAAGUCAAAUGAGAGUUUCAGGUAGUAUGCUCAGAGGUGGAGGGAAGUCGCUACGUAAGUUCAACCGCCGCUUUUGGAAAAGGAGACAACCAUGCUUUUCAUUAAUACUUUGAAGGCACCUUUUAUUAACCACAUGCUGGGAGGUGCAACAAAGAGUUUCACGGACAUAGUGAUGUCCGGUGAAAUGAUAGAGAAUGUGAUAAGGUGUAGAAAGAUAGAGGCUGGGGAGAGCACCAGGAGGUCAGCCCCGAAGAAGAGAGAAAAUGAGGUUGGCAAUGUGAGCAUGGGUCAUAUAAAACCAAUCACAAUUAAUCAACCAAAAAUGACAGUCACGAGCCAGCAAGCUUCGUCAAGACAGGAGCUCAGUACGAAACAAAGCACGGAGAAGCUCCGGUUCACUCCAAUUCCAAUAAUAUACCAGGAGCUGUACAAAAGUCUAUUCGAUGCGUACGUUGUAUCCCCGUUCUACUUAAAACCGUUGCAACCCCUGUACACCAAGUGGUAUGAUGCAAGUGCCCAAUGUAAAUAUCAUGCGGGCAUCGCGGGACACUCGAUAGAGAACUACACCUCCUUCAAAAGAGUAGUCAAAAGGCUCAUUAACAUGGGUGUUGUGAAGUUUGAUGAUGCACCUGAUGUAGGAAACUCGUUAUCCAAUCAUACUGUUAAUGGGGUAAACGCAGUAGUCGAGUAUAUGGGAAGGAGAGUUAGGUUGGAUGUAGCGGAAGUAAAAACCCUGAUGAGGGAGGUUUUGAAGAAGAUGGUAGAGAAAUGUCUAAUCAUGCAAGACUUUAGGAGUAAAUCCCAAGAAGUAGGGAACUAUUGUGAGUUCUACGAAGAGGAGAACCAUGAGAUUGAAACAUGUGAUGAAUUCAGAGCCCUAGUGCGAGAUCUAAUGGACAACAAGGAGCUGGAGUUAUUUGGGUUUGCUGAGGAGAAAGAUGUGUACACCUUGGAGGAAGGGCUAAUAAAGAGGGUCUGUGAGGUCAAUCACCUAGUGGUGAUCAUUUCAUGAUCGAAAGUCGAUGAAGCUAGAGCAAGAACGACACCAAGAGUUAUGAUUCAGAAACCCAUGGCUUUUCCUGCAAAAGGGUGCCUUGGAAUUAUAACUGUAAUGUGACGUCAUUAGGAGAAGGGAGUUGGUCAGCAUGCCAGAUACAAAAGUCAAACCCGUAAAAGAGAAAUCUUUGAUGUUUGAACAGGGGGAAGAGAGGACAAAACCACUAGUUAAUGAAUCGGUAAUCGCAGAUGAAGCAAAAAAAUUUCUGAAGUUCCUAAAACACAAUGAGUAUAGUGUUGUGGAAUAGUUGUACAAGCAGUCAGCACGCACCUCGAUACUAGCUUUGUUCCAAAAUUCAGAGUACACCGUAAUGCGUUGAUGAAUGUGUUGAAUGAAACUUGUGUCGCUGAAGACAUUCCGGUGAACAAGCUAGACCGUCUUUUCAGCAAUAUAAGUGCCGAUAACUUUAUUUCUUUCAGUGAUGAUAAGAUACCGCCAGGUGGCAUAGGGUCCAUCAAAGCUCUGCACAUCACCACUCGGUGCAAAGGGUAUAUACUACCGAGGGUAUUGAUUGACAAUGGGUCGGCACUGAAUGUCUUGCCACUGCCCAUAUUAAAUAGGUUACCUAUUUAUAGCUCUCAUAUGAAGACAUGCCAGAACAUAGUGAGAGCGUUCGAUGGCACCAAGAGGAAAGUAAUGGGUAGAAUUGAGAUCCCCCUUCUGAUCGGACCCAACAUGUACGAGGUAGACUUUCUCAUGAUGGACAUCAAGCCCUCUUAUAAUUGUUUACUGAGGAGGCCUUGGAUUCACUCAGUGGGAGUGGUACCAUCAUCAUUGCACCAGAAGCUGAAGUUGGUAACAGAGGGUCGGCUAAUAACCAUAAAUGCAGAGGAGGACAUUAUAGCCUCUGUUACUAGUGACGCGUCGUACAUCGAGAAUGAUGAUGAAGCAAUUGAGUGUUUCUUUCGAUAAUUUAAAUUUGUCAAUGCGACUUUCAUUAUCGAAGGAGGCAAGAUCCCAAUGCCAAAAAUAUCCGAAGCUACAAGGAUGAGCUUACAACUGAUGGUAGGUAAAGGGGCAUUGCCUGGAAGGGGACUUAGAAAAACCUCCAUGGACGGGUUGAAGUGCCGGGUUUAGCUGGCAAGCAGGAUCGUUUCGGUUUGGGAUAUAGGCCGGAGGCCAAACAAAGAAAGAAAAAGUUAGAGAGGAAACAUGAUAGACGAAGGGCACGAUUGAGUGGGACAGAGGUCAAAUGGGAGUCAAUGACCUUUCCCCACAUAUCCAAUACAUUCGUGUCAGGAGGAAUUAUUCAUCUGGAAUCAGAGAUGACAAGAAAAGAUACAGCUAAAUAUUUGAUAGGCAAUUUGAGCAUCAACGCCCUAUCUGAAGAGAGAGUGAUGGAAAGAGACUUAUUAGGCAUUCACCCUUAUGAGCCUGGCAGUGUUCUAAACAAUUGAACUGUGGAAGAAAUUCCUAUAGUUCUUAGAGCUAAUACAGAGUAAUGUUUAGAACACACUUAUUGUUUUAAGCCUAGAAACAAUAAGAAUCUUUUGUGAAAUAGGCUCAUGUUCAAACAUAUUUAUUUAAUAAGAAAUGCAUUUUUGUGUCUCAUUCUGGGCAAAUAUUCUUUCAUAUUCUCAUUACAUUCAUAAUCAUGCCAUACAAAUAAGCCACCCUUUGAUUUAUUCUUUGGAUAUUUCUUUUGUGUUAUAAUACGUCUCCAGAUAUCAACAUUACGAGCGACAUUGUUACAGACUCAGGAUCUCCUUUUGAGCGAGAUAUGUGUUUAGGGGGAUCUCAGGAUUUUGAAGAUGACGAAGAUUGUGGGAUAUCUCCGGAUUUGUUAAGGAUGGUAGAACGAGAAGAGAAACAUAUUCAACCCCAUAAGGAGACAACUGAGAAUGUGACUUUGGAAGAAGGGAAUGAAGUGAAAAUUAGAACUUGUAUAACCGAGGAAACAAGGCAAGACCUUGUUAAACUGUUGCAGGAGUUUAAAUAUGUCUUCGAGUGGUCGUAUCAAGACAUGCCUAGUUUAAGCGCUGAUAUUGCGGUACAUCGAGUCCCCAUAAAAGAAUAGAGCAAGCCUGUUCAGCAGAAGCUUCGAAGGAUAAGGCCCGAUGUUGCAGUAAAAAUAAGAGCAGAGGUCAGGAAACAAUUUGAUGCUGGGUUCUUACAAAUGGUGAAUUACUCGGAAUGGGUAGCCAAUGUCGUCCCCGUCUCUAAGAAAGAUGGAAAAGUACGGAUGUGUUUGGGUUACAGAGACCUAAACAAGGCUAGCCCAAAUGACAACUUCCCGCUGCCCCAUAUUGACACUUUGGUGGAUAAUACGGCAGGUUACUCAUGGUUCUCUUUCAUGGAUGGUUUCUCGGGAUACAAUCAAAUAAAGAUGCAUUUUACAAAUAUGGAAAAAACCACGUUCAUAACCUUGUGGGAAACAUUUUGCUAUAAGGUGAUGCCAUUUGGGUUAAAAAAUACGGGAGCAACGUAUCAAAGAGCUAUGGUAACCUCGUUUCACGACAUAAUGCACAAGAAGAUUGAAGUUUUCGUCGACAAUAUGAUCGCAAAGUCCCGAACAGAAAAAACACAUACAGGUUUUGAGGAAAUUAUUCUUAAGGCUGAGAAAGUUCCAACUAAAACUCAAUCCAACAAAAUGUACUUUCGGAGCUAGAUCAGGAAAGCUAUUUGGUUUUGUUGUCAGUGAAAAAAAUUGAGGUCGACCUCGACAAAGUCAAGGCUAUUCAGCAAUUACCCUCGUCAUGCACUCAGAAGGAAGUUCGAGGCUUUUUGGAAAGACUAAACUAUAUCGCCCGAUUUAUUUCGCAACUAACUGAGAAAUGCGACCCCAUAUUUCGUCUUCUCAAGAAAUAAAACCCAGGUGUGUAGGAUGAAGAGUGCCAGAAGACCUUUGACAGGGUUAAACAAUAUGUUUCCAAUCCCCUAGUGUUAACACCACCUAACCCGAGUAGACCAUUGAUAUUGUAUUUGACAGUAUUUGACCAUUCAAUGGGAUGUGUGCUUGAUCAACACGAUAACACAGGAAAGAAAGAAAAGGCGAUAUAAUACCUUAGUAAGAAAUUCACUGAGUGUGAGAUGAGAUAUUCGCCAAUUGAGAAGCUAUGUUGUGCUUUAGUCUAGACAACUCAGACAUUGAGGCAGUACAUGUUGUACCAUACGACUUGGUUAAUCUCGAAAUUAGAUCCUCUUAAGUACAUGAUGGAGUUAGCGGCUUUGAAUGGAAGGAUGACCCGAUGGUAAAUUCUGCUUUCUGAAUUCGACAUAGUUUACGUGAGCUAGAAGGCUAUAAAGGGAGUGCAAUAGCAUAUUUUCUAGCCAGUAGAGCUUUAGAAGAUUACGAGCCUUUGAAUUUUGAUUUUCUCAAUGAAGAUCUAAUGUAUGUGGCAGCCACUCAAGAAGACACUCCGGAAGAUCAUCCUUGGAAACUAAAUUUCAACGAAGCAUCAAACGCCGUUGGUAAUGGAAUUGGGGCAGUCUUGAUAUCCUCAAAUGGAGAUCACUAUCCAUUCACUUGCAAAUUGGAUUUUGAUUGCCCAAAUAAUAUGGCAGAGUACGAAGCAUGUAUCAUGGGUAUCCGUGCGAUCGUGAUCGCAAAAUCAAGGUGUUAGAGGUAUAUGAGGAUUCUGCAUUGGUGAUCUAUCAGCUCAAAGGUGAAUGGGAAACAAAAGACUCAAAGUUGAUCAAUUACCGAGAGCUGGUUCUGGACUUAAUCAAGGCAUUUGAUGAUAUCACCUUCCAUUAUCUCCCGCGUGAUGAAAAUCAGAUAGCUAAUGCCUUAGCUACGCUAGCUUCCAUGAUCAGAGCAAAUAAACAAGAAGAUAUGAAGCCAAUCCAGAUGAGUAUUUACGAUGCUCCAGCUUAUUCCCGCAAUAUUAAUGUAGAGGAAGAGAAGGAUGAUCAUCCUUGGUAUUAGAAUAUUCUACGAUAUGUGAAAAAUCGUGUAUAUCCUGAUUAGGCAACAGAAAAUGAUAAAAGAAUGUUGAGGAGGCUGGCCGUUGACUAUGUCUUAGAUGGUGAAAUCUUGUAUAAAAGAAGGAAAGGCCAAGUGCUGCUAAGAUGUGUUAACACUGUUGAAGCGAAGAAAAUCCUAGAAGAAGUUCAUGAAGGUGUCUACGGGACGCAUGCCAAUGGGUUCACAAUGGCCAGACAAAUUAUGAGAUUCGGGUAUUACUGGUCUACAAUGGAAGGAGAUUGCAUCAAUUAUGCCAAAAAAUGCCAUAAGUGCCAAAUUUAUGGUGGUAAGAUCCAUGUGCCUUAUUCACUUCUUCAUGUUAUGACUUCCCCAUAGCUUUUCUCAGUGUGGGGCAUGGAUGUCAUUGGGCCGAUUUCGCCGAAGGCUUCUAACGGACAUUGUUUCAUCUUUGUGGUCAUCGAUUAUUUUACCAAGUGCGUGGAGGCUGCUUCAUACGCCAGCAUCACGAAGUCAGCGGUCAGCAAGUUUUUAAAAAAGGAAAUCAUAUGUCGAUAUGGCAUGCCAGAGAGGAUCAUAUCUGACAACGUGUUAAAUUUUAAUAAUAGUAUGAUAGUGGAGGUCUGCAAUCAAUUCAAAAUUAAGCACCACAACUCAUCACUAUAUCGCCUGAAAAUGAAUAGGGCAGUUGAGGUGGCUAAUAAAAAUAUAAAGAAGAUCGUGGGGAAAAUGGUUGAGACCUACAAGGAUUGGCAUGAAAAGUUACCAUUUGCUUUCUAUGCCUAUCGAACGUCGGUCAGAACUUCCACCGGGGCAACACCUUUCUCUUUGGUUUAUGGGAUGGAAGCAGUAUUGCCAAUUGAAGUCGAGAUUCCUUCUCUCCGGGUUUUAUCUGAAUUGAAGCUAGAUGAAGCAGAAUGGGUCCAAUCCCGGUACGAUCAGCUAAACUUGAUUGAAGAAAAGAGGUUGAGAGCUAUUCGUCAUGGUCCAAUGUACCAAAAGAGAAUGAUGCAAGCUUACAACAAGAAAGUUUGCCCAAGAGUAUUCUAGGAAGGGGACUUGGUACUAACUAUGCAAAAGGAUUUCAGAGGGAAAUGGAUGCCAAACUGGGAAGGACCCUAUGUAGUGGAGAAGGCUUUUUCUAGAGGGGCACUGGUAUUAGCAGAAAUGGAUGGUAAAAGCCUUCUAACCCAGUAAAUUCAGAUUCGGUCAAGAAGUACUUCACCUGAAAAAGGAAGGCCAAGGCGAAAACCUGAAAAGGACGCUUUGAAAAAAAAGAAAAAAGAAAAAUGGAGAGGUCAAGGCGAAAACCCACAAAGGACGCUUUUAAACCAAAGAGGUUUUUAAGUUGAAAACCAGAAAAAUGGCAGAUCAAAUUGUGAUCAAGAAUAGGACAUGUUGCGACCUUAUUCUAGUAGAAUGAACAAGAAGGAGGAACAUUACAUCUUGAAGGCAUCAACGAAAUACUUCAGACCUCCUAAACACAUAUCUGGCUAUCAGGGGUUUUCGAACAGUCCGAAUAGAGAAGCUUACGCUGCGAUAUCUCGGGCACCAAUUUUCCAUCUUAUACAUCUUUUGUACCUUAGUAAAAUCUGUUAUCUUAACUAAUUUUCUACCUCGAGCUUCGUUCUCAAUAAAGUUUCAUCUUGUCUAUUUUGAUAAUCUUUUUCAAAGCAUUUCCUAUUGAAAUAUUGAUUAAUGGACUAAUAACAUUUUCAUAAAAGGAGUUCUGCAUAUUACUCUAGAAGCUUCUAAGUAGUGCAAGAACCCGAAACAGGUCAAUUAUCCAGAACCCACCAAGCUUAAAGGUUAAGGUUACUUGAGAGGUUAAAAGGUUUAAGUUAAGACUAUUACUUCAGAUGUUUGUUAAAGAUAUCAGUUGAACAAUAAGAAAUACGUUAAUGGAAAACAGCGAGCAAUAACAGCUUAAACGUUAAAAAAGGGCAGUUCUCAUGACAUUCUGCAGCACAUCUAACUAGAAGCAUUUGAUUCAUUUUGAUCAUAGCAUCCUAAUUAUUUGACAUAAGCAUCACAUCUACCUAGGAGCAUUUGAUUCAUUUUGAUCAUAGCAUCCUAAUUAUUCAGCAUAAGCAUAAAUACAUGAAACCGAUUUUAUAGAUCAUGUUCCUUAGAGGACGGUGCAGUUGUAUCGGUGAAGUCACGAGCCUUAACCCCCUAAGCAGUAGAGUAACAGGCUACAAAUUAAAGAUCUUAUCUCCAUGUAUCGGAUAUGGAGUAGAUCAGAAAUGGCGAGUCUUACCUCUAUCUAUCUACUAUGGAGCAGAUUUUAGCCACCAACCUUAUCUCUCUGAGGUAGCAAGAGAGCAGGUUGAAGAUAUGAGUCUUAUCUUCCUAAGGUAGCAAGGAAGAAGACUGCAAAUUAUAGAUCUUAUCUCCAUGUAUCUGCUAUGGAACAGAUUUUAGCCACUAGCCUUAUCUCUUUGAGGUAGCAAGAGAGUAGGUUGAGGAUACGAGUCUUAUCUUCCUGAGGUAGCAAGGAAACAGAUUGCAAAUUAUAGAUCUUAUCUCUAUGUAUCGGCUAUGGAGCUGAUCGAAAAUGGUGAGUCUUAUCUCUAUGUAUCAGCUAUAGAGCAUAUUUAAGCUACCGGCCUUAUCUCUCUAAGAUAGCAAGAGAGCAGGUUGAAGAUGCGAGCCUUAACCCCCUAAGUAGUAGGGUAACAGACUGAAAAUUGCAGAUCUUAUCUCCAUAUAUCGGCUAUGGAACAGAUUGAAAAUGGCGAGUCUUAUCUCCAUGUAUCGGCAAUGGAGCAGAUUUAAGCCAUCAGUCUUAUCUCUCUGAGGUAGCAAGAGAGCAGGUUGAAGAUACAAGCCUUAACCUCCUAAGCAGUAGGGUAAUCGGCUGAAAAUUACAGAUCUUAUCUCCAUGUACAGACUAUGGAGCAGAUCAGAUAUGAUGAGUCUUAUCUCCAUGUAUCGGCUAUGGAGCAGAUUUUAGCCACCAGCCUUAUCUCUCUAAGGUAGCAAGAGAGCAAGUUAAAGUUACAGACCUUCUUAAAGCUGAUGCAAGUCUACUUGAAGGAGAUGAGCAACAAAGAAGUUAAGACUCAGAAGACCAGACAGAAUUGACCCACUUGGAGUAUUUGCUCUAUUCUCGUGACACGACAAUGAGCAAAGAGGGGCAGCUAUUAUGGCCCAAUUCAGCCCGGGGUCCAUAAAUAAAAAAACCAAAAUAAACAGUCCAUUUUGUUUACAAAUUCAGACCCAAAUUUUAAACCAUGGCCCAAAAUACAAACAGUCUAAUACAAAAUUGAAACCCAAACCAAACACUUAAACCCUAGCCCAAACUUUUAAGCCCAAAACCAAAAAACAUUUUUGGCAGAACCCUAGCAACCAGCCUCCAGCCGCCGCCAUCUAAGCAGCCCCUAGGCACCGCAUGUUGAGCGUCGUGCGCUCUUCCACCACGCCACGUUAGAGACAUGCUUGUUCACGUACCUGCAAAUGUGAAAAACGGUUGUAAAAAUUGACUAUAAAACCGAAACAAAUCGUUUGUAAAAGGGGAUCGUUUUCUUUUUUGGAUUUGAUGAAUACAAAAGUAGAGAAUAUACACAAAAAAAAAUAGAUACACGAGCAAGCUAUUUCAAUAGAAACCAAAUUGAAGAUUAGGAGGUGGUUUUUCCUUUUACUUUUCGCAUUUUUUUUCUUCUCUUUUUGCAAAUUGAUUUUAAACCUGGUUUUAAACAAAAAUCGAAGGAAAAGGCUCACUUGGAUUUGCCCCAUGGUUCGGCGUCGGAGGUGGAGGCGUUGAGGCACCGAUGACCCUCCUAUGUGGC
rnacentral:lncRNA from 1 species